UACGGGGGGGGCAAGCGUUGUUCGGAAUUACUGGGCGUAAAGGGCUCGUAGGCGGCCAACUAAGUCAGACGUGAAAUCCCUCGCUUAACCGGGGAACUGCGUCUGAUACUGGACGGCUUGAAUCCGGGAGAGGGAUGCGGAAUUCCAGGUGUAGCGGUGAAAUGCGUAGAUAUCAGGAGGAACACCGGUGGCGAAGGCGGCUUUCUGGACACUUACUGACGCUGAGACGCGAAAGCGUGGGGAGCAAACAGG
rnacentral:rRNA from 1 species